rnacentral:rRNA from 1 species
UGGGGAAUAUUGGACAAUGGGCGAAAGCCUGAUCCAGCCAUGCCGCGUGAGUGAAGAAGGCCUUAGGGUUGUAAAGCUCUUUCAGCGGGGAAGAUAAUGACGGUACCCGCAGAAGAAGUCCCGGCUAACUUCGUGCCAGCAGCCGCGGUAAUACGAAGGGGACUAGCGUUGUUCGGAUUUACUGGGCGUAAAGCGCGCGUAGGCGGAUCGCUAAGUCAGGGGUGAAAUCCCAGGGCUCAACCCUGGAACUGCCUUUGAUACUGACGGUCUGGAGAUCGGGAGAGGUUGGUGGAAUUCCGAGUGUAGAGGUGAAAUUCGUAGAUAUUCGGAGGAACACCAGAAGCGAAGGCGGCCAACUGGCCCGAUACUGACGCUGAGGCGCGAAAGCGUGGGGAGCAAACAGGAUUAGAUACCCCCGUAGUCC